ACCCAAGGUAGGCAACGGCGCGGACUUCAAUCCCUCGCAGCAGUACAGGAUGUAC
rnacentral:rRNA from 1 species